GUGAACGCUGGCGGCGUGCUUAACACAUGCAAGUCGAACGAUGAUUGGAAGCUUGCUUUCAUGAUUAGUGGCGCACGGGUGAGUAAUAUAUAGAUAACGUGCCUCUUAGUCUGGGAUAGCCAUUGGAAACGAUGAUUAAUACCGGAUACUCCUUCUAACUCUAAUGUUAGUCGGGAAAGUUUCGCUAAGAGAUCGGUCUAUAUUCCAUCAGUUAGUUGGUGAGGUAAUGGCUCACCAAGGCAAUGACGGAUAGCGGGUUUGAGAGGAUGAUCCGCCACACUGGUACUGAGACACGGACCAGACUCCUACGGGAGGCAGCAGUGAGGAAUAUUG
rnacentral:rRNA from 1 species